GCAUUGGUGGUUCAGCGGCAGAAUUCUCGCCUUCCAUGCGGGAAACCCGGGUUCGAUGCCCAGCCAAUGUA
rnacentral:tRNA from 1 species